rnacentral:sRNA from 1 species
AUCUCUAAGUCCAAAAUUGUAUUGUAACAAUAAUGUUGACAACUAAGCUAUCCCUGGGAAUCGAAUUAUUACAAAAAACUAAUACUCAAAAUUCAAACUCAGCACUCUCGAAAAUACAAUUUAAACAUUAAGAUGGGUGAGAUGAGGGUAACACCGUAUGACGCCUAGAGCUCCCCUACAAUUGUUGCUCUCUAUUCUGAAAUAUUAAUUAAUUCUAUUGGCUGCGCCCGUUCACAAAGUCGGACAACGUUGACAAUCACUAAACAGUAAUGCACGGAUCGCGACUCGAAAACUCGACGUACUUUGUAAACCCCAUUUCCACCUUCUGAUCCACUUCAGCGGCAACGUGGCUCGGCCUUUUCUCCGGCUCACGGACCAUCUAAGCUUCACUUUCACUACUAAUGACAAUUGAAAGAUGUUCUUUGACCAAAUC